rnacentral:sRNA from 1 species
GCCCCGCGGGGCCACACACGCCCCCUUCUCUCCUCCUAUGCCAGCAUCCGUCCCCGCUAGUCAGGGUGGGAAGUGGGAGGGAUCAGCCGCAGGGGGCGUCCCCAUCCACCUUUCAACCGGAGAGACGGCAGAGCGUGACCUCGGGGAAGCACGUCCCACGUUCCGUACGUGUGGAAGGAGCUCUGGAUUUCUGAUCUACCAGAGGGUCCUGGACUGUUCUGAGCGUGUCUCAGGAUCAGGAACACAUAUCAGACCUCUGUGAUGUGGAAGACGAGGCUCACAGAUGUUUGUUCAUUAGCUCACACAUUUUAAAUUUCAGGAUUUGCCAGACUGUCGGUGUGAAAGCAGGAGCCCCGGACGAAGCUGUGUGCAGAGAGAACGUUUCCCAGAUUUACUGUGCGCUGCUGAGCUGCAUGGACGACUACACCACGGACAGCAGAGGGGAUGUGGGUGCCUGGGUCCGCAAGGCUGCCAUGACCAGUCUGAUGGAUCUGACACUUCUGCUGGCUCGGAGCCAGCCUGAGCUGAUCGAGGCCCAUAUCUGUGAGCGCAUCAUGUGCUGUGUGGCCCAGCAGGCCAGUGAGAAGAUUGACCGUUUCCGUGCUCACGCCGCCAGCGUGUUCCUGACACUCCUGCACUUUGACAGCCCUCCCAUCCCCCACGUGCCCCACCGAGGAGAACUGGAAAA